UGGGGAAUAUUGGACAAUGGGGGCAACCCUGAUCCAGCAAUGCCGCGUGUGUGAAGAAGGCCUGAGGGUUGUAAAGCACUUUCGUUGGGGAGGAAGUAUUGUUGUUUAAGAGAUGACAGUAUUGACGUUACCCAAAUAAGCAGCACCGGCAAACUCCGUGCCAGCAGCCGCGGUAAUACGGAGGGUGCAAGCGUUAAUCGGAAUUACUGGGCGUAAAGCGCACGUAGGUGGUUAUUUAAGUUGGCUGUGAAAGACCCGGGCUUAACCUGGGGGUGUCGGUCAAUACUGAAUGACUAGAGUACAGUAGAGGGGUGUGGAAUUUCCGGUGUAGCGGUGAAAUGCGUAGAGAUCGGAAGGAACACCAGUGGCGAAGGCGGCACCCUGGACUGAUACUGACACU
rnacentral:rRNA from 1 species